CGGUGGGUCAUGCCUGUAAUCCUCGCAAUUUGGGAGGCCGAGGCAGGUGGAUUACUUGAGGUCAGGAGUUUGAGACCAGCCUGGCCAACAUGGUGAAACCCCUUCUCUACUAAAAAUACAAAAGUGAGCUGGGACGGUGGUGUGUGCCUGUAAUCCCAGCUACUCGGGAGGCAGAGACAGGAGAAUCAUUUGAACCUGGGAGGCUGAGGUUGCAGUGAGCCAAGAUUGCACCACUGCACUCUAACCUGGGCAACACAGUGAAAGUUUGUCUCAAAAGAAAGAAAAGAAAGAAAGAAAGAAAAAAAGGAAGGAAGGAAGGAAAGAAAGAAGAAAGAAAGAAAGAGAGAAAAGAAAAUAGGCAGAAAACUGAGCCAGAUGGGCAGACAAAGAGAGAAGCCUCCAGCUACGUAUCAGACAAGCAGAGAAGGUGAGGGGUGCAGGCGCCCUGGCCACCCUGCAGCUGGCUCAGCAUCUGGACAGGAGAACAAAGCCGUGGCCCAGGAAACCUCCAUGGAGAAGACUGAAUUCUGGUCCAGCUGCUGCGUAAUCUACAUCGCUUGAGCGGAAGAGGAUCUGUAGUAACUGAUCCUUGGCUCUACACUCUCCCAUCCAUCAUCAGGAACAAUAGCGGGCUGCAGUUGCCUUUCCAACCCUGCUUUGAAGGGCUUAAUAUGUUGAUGGUUGCCAUGGCAAACAAGCUUAAAACACCACUGGAUGAUGUGAACGGCAGAGAUAAUGCUUCAUAACUUUCAACGGCUAGACUCCAGAAGGAGGAUUUUUGUAUUGCCAUUGUGUAGUGGAAAGAACGGCAAAAUGAGGAUCAGAAGAACUGGAUCUGUCUCAGAUCAGCCAUCAACUGGCUAUGUGGCCCUGGAUGGCACACCAUUUAACCCGUCUGUGCAGAGUACUAACUCAUCUGAAAAAGCAAGAAAUAAUAACAAAAGCAGUAACUGUGGAAAUCAUAAGAAAGUAAUAAUAUCAAUUGCAGCCCAGAAGUUGGAAUCUGGUCCCUCCUCUCCAUGAACCAAGUAUGAGACUUUAGAUAUUUCACACAAUGUUUCUGGGUCACUCUGUUCUCAUUGGGAAAGUUAGAGAUCAAAGAUACAUAUUAUAUAUUUUGUACUUGUGCCAUACCAACAAUAGAUAAGGAAGAGCUGGUGUUCCAGGCCAGCUAAUCAUCAUGGGAGACAGUGUCUGUGGCUGUCACUUCUCUAGUGGCCCUGCAGCUCACACCAAGUGUGUUAAAGCUACUCCGGAUGAGCCAAGUGUUCCACUGUGAUUGUCACUGUGGUCCUCUCCAUCAACAGGAUCUAUCAGAAAGCAGAAAAUGAAGCCCUAACAGCGUACUUACUCUCAUCAGUGGAUUAAACUUCAUCUUCCUCCUUCACCCUCCGUAGAGAUUAGCAAAGAUCUUGAGUUCUGCAUGUUUCUGAAUUAAAGUAAGUGUUCAAUCAUUUAUGUGCUUGAAGAAUUCCCUGACAAACUGGUUCUAUGGUUACGAGUUCAUAUGAAAGCAGUCUCACCAAAAGUUGCCUUUUGGCCGUCAGGCAACAGGAAGGCUGCCAUUUUGCAAGCCAAAUAGUUCACUCUUACUGAUUAUGGUCUGGGGGAAAAUGGCUGACUAGAGAUGCAGAAUAGUCCCCUAUCUAAGUGUAGUGAGAUGGUUUACAGGUCCGGAACCUUUGAGAACAUUAUUUAAUCACACAGUGGUUUUGAUAGAGACCAG
rnacentral:lncRNA from 1 species